rnacentral:rRNA from 1 species
GAUUAACGCUGGCGGCGUGCCUAAUACAUGCAAGUCGAACGAACUUACUAGAGUCUAGAAGCCGGAAUUUAGAAUUUAGGCUAAGGAGCAAUCCUAAAACCUUAAUUCUUGAUUCUUAAUUCUUGAUUCUUGUAAGUUAGUGGCGGACGGGUGAGUAACACGUUGGUACCUGCCCCGAAGUGGGGAAUAACUGGCCGAAAGGUCGGCUAAUACCGCAUAGUCUCGUGCUUGUCACGAGUAAAGGUCGCCUUAGGCGACCGCUUCGGGAGGGGCCUGCGUCUGAUUAGCUAGUUGGUAGUGUAAUGGACUACCAAGGCGACGAUCAGUAGCUGGUUCGAGAGGAUGACCAGCCACACUGGGACUGAGAUACGGCCCAGACUCCUACGGGAGGCAGCAGUAAGGAAUCUUCCACAAUGGACGAAAGUCUGAUGGAGCAACGCCGCGUGCAGGAAGACGGUCUUCGGAUUGUAAACUGCUUUUAAUUGGGAAGAUUAUGACGGUACCAAUUGAAUAAGGACCGGCUAAC